GGUGGAGCGAUUUGUCUGGUUAAUUCCGAUAACGAACGAGACUCUGGCCUAUUAAAUAGACGAUAUAUUUAAAAGUAUAUCGCGCUUCUUAGAGGGACAAGCGGCGUCUAGCCGCAUGAAAUAGAGCAAUAACAGGUCUGUGAUGCCCUUAGAUGUCCGGGGCUGCACGCGCGCUACACUGAAAGAAUCAGUGUGCGUUACGCCUAGUUCGGAAGAACCGGGUAACCCAAGUAAAUUCUUUCGUGCUUGGGAUAGGGAAUUGCAAUUAUUUCCCUUAAACGAGGAAUUCCCAGUAAAUGCGGGUCAUAAGCUCGCGUUGAAUACGUCCCUGCCCUUUGUACUGCGGCGGUCGUCGACGACGGCGCUAGUG
rnacentral:rRNA from 1 species